rnacentral:rRNA from 1 species
GCGGCGGACGGGUGAGUAACACGUGGGCAACCUGCCCUGCAGACUGGGAUAACUUCGGGAAACCGGAGCUAAUACCGGAUAACACCGAAAACCGCAUGGUUUUCGGUUGAAAGGCGGCUUUUAGCUGUCACUGCAGGAUGGGCCCGCGGCGCAUUAGCUAGUUGGUGAGGUAACGGCUCACCAAGGCGACGAUGCGUAGCCGACCUGAGAGGGUGACCGGCCACACUGGGACUGAGACACGGCCCAGACUCCUACGGGAGGCAGCAGUAGGGAAUCUUCCGCAAUGGACGAAAGUCUGACGGAGCAACGCCGCGUGAGCGAAGAAGGUCUUCGGAUCGUAAAGCUCUGUUGUCAGGGAAGAACAAGUGCCGUUCGAACAGGGCGGUUACCUUGACGGUACCUGACGAGGAAGCCACGGCUAACUACGUGCCAGCAGCCGCGGUAAUAC